CGCACAUUGCGCCCGCCAGCAUUCUGGCGGGCAUGCCUGUUCGAGCGUCAUUUCAACCCUCGAGCCCCCUUCCCUUCUGGGCAGGCGGGCCCGGUGUUGGGGAACGGCCCUCCCGUACUGCGGGGGCGGCCGUCCCCGAAAUCCAGUGGCGGUCACGCCGCGGGCUCCUCUGCGUAGUAGCAACACCUCGCAUUUGGGACCCGGCGCGGCCACGCCGUAAAUCAGACGAAUUUUCUGAAGGUUGACCUCGGAUCAGGUAGGAAUACCCGCUGAACUUAA
rnacentral:misc_RNA from 1 species